rnacentral:rRNA from 1 species
GAUGAACGCUGACAGAAUGCUUAACACAUGCAAGUCUACUUGAUCCUUCGGGUGAUGGUGGCGGACGGGUGAGUAACGCGUAAAGAACUUGCCCUGCAGUCUGGGACAACAUUUGGAAACGAAUGCUAAUACCGGAUAUUAUGUGAGUUUCGCAUGAAAUUCAUAUGAAAGCUAUAUGCGCUGCAGGAGAGCUUUGCGUCCUAUUAGCUAGUUGGUGAGGUAACGGCUCACCAAGGCGAUGAUAGGUAGCCGGCCUGAGAGGGUGAACGGCCACAAGGGGACUGAGACACGGCCCUUACUCCUACGGGAGGCAGCAGUGGGGAAUAUUGGACAAUGGACCAAAAGUCUGAUCCAGCAAUUCUGUGUGCACGAUGAAGUUUUUCGGAAUGUAAAGUGCUCUCAGUUGGGACGAAGUAAGUGACGGUACCAACAGAAGAAGCGACGGCUAAAUACGUGCCAGCAGCCGCGGUAAUACGUAUGUCGCAAGCGUUAUCCGGAUUUAUUGGGCGUAAAGCGCGUCUAGGCGGUUUGGUAAGUCUGAUGUGAAAAUGCGGGGCUCAACUCCGUAUUGCGUUGGAAACUGCCAAACUAGAGUACUGGAGAGGUGGGCGGAACUACAAGUGUAGAGGUGAAAUUCGUAGAUAUUUGUAGGAAUGCCGAUGAGGGAGCCAGCCCACUGGACAGAUACUGACGCUAAAGCUUUAAAGGGUGGGUAGCAAACAGG